CGGAACCCAUUCCUCCUUCCCAUUUCACCGAGCUGGAUGGUUUGAAAGAUUAACGUCAACGUGGUACCUUGCUCUUGUCUAUAGAACGACUUUAAUUUUUAAUAGAAUCGUAAAACCUACUCGAUCGGAAAGCCGUAGUACGGACACCAGACUGAAAUUUCCGUCCCAGCAACGGCCUUCACUGGGUUCAUUGCUCGUAUGUAUGGUGGACCUACAGACAGCAUAUAUUAUUUUUAAGAAAUUGUUGCGUUUUGGAUUUCAUGGUGUAAUAUAAUUCGUAGAUUAAAAGUUCAGGCCAUCAUGUACCGUAAACGUUGAGACGGGCUAAGUGCGCUACAGAGCCGUGCGAGUUGACGGCGCGGCACUCGUAGCGGCCUCCGUGCUCCACUCUUGCACCCCCCAAUGACAAAGUCGAGACCACGUAGUUAUGGCUGCCCCCCACGCCCGAGGGACCACUCUCACGGCCCUCCGAUAUGGAGGCCCUGUUCAGAAGAAAUCGAUGUAAGGCUAGGGUCCAUCGAAAGCGCGGAGGCGGAUCCCCGAGAGCAGAGCACUUGAGGGCGACUGCAGCACCGGGCUGCACCGCCUGCUCUAUGAACGUGUACACCAGCUCCGGAGCCGACUCUACGAACCACGUUAGACAUGCUAGUGUCAAUAUGCCAUAAAGAAGAAGAAUGAAAUGUAUUAUAAGCACAUACAUGAAUAAACGUUUGUUUACCUGAAGAGCGCCUCGCCCGUUUCCGUUUGUGAGCGCGAUUACAACCCGUCUCUGCCGCUAAUGAGCACCGCACAUCUGACAAUGAAGCAACGAUAUUUGUGUACUCACUAAAUAAACCAGCUAACUACACUUUUCUACAACCUCUCUCUAUAUUCAUAUAGCUAAAUAAUGCGAUAGUGCGAAGCGAUCUUAUACAAUAUAAAA